rnacentral:rRNA from 1 species
UACGUAGGGGGCAAGCGUUGUCCGGAAUCAUUGGGCGUAAAGAGCGCGUAGGCGGCCCUGUAAGUCCGCUGUGAAAGUCAAGGGCUCAACCCUUGGAUGCCGGUGGAUACUGUCGGGCUUGAGUACGGAAGAGGCGAGUGGAAUUCCUGGUGUAGCGGUGAAAUGCGCAGAUAUCAGGAGGAACACCAAUUGCGAAGGCAGCUCGCUGGGACGUUACUGACGCUGAGACGCGAAAGCGUGGGGAGCAAACAGG